GGACUUGAAGAUCUUUGUGGGUCCCUUCCAAAUAAGGAUAUUAUGGGGUCCUAUAAUUUUAUAAUAUGCAAUGCAGUUUUCUUAAUGAGUCACAUAAAGAAAAGACAGAUUUCAUUUUGACUGUGGGGUAGCUUAGUUCUUGUGAGGUUGUGUCUCAUAGUCUUUCAGAGAUUUACAAGGAAACAUGAAAUUGGACAAAAUAUGGACCUUCAGGAUCUGAGCAUGAUUGCCAUUGGGGAAACUAAAAUCUGUUUAUGGAAACCAGAUUUUGCAGUGUUGGCUCUGUUAUAUCCAUAAUGUUACAGCAGCAUUAGAGUAUGCUCAGUUCUGACAAGAAACUGGGAAGACCAGUAACGCUUCCUUAACCCAGUGUUAGCCACAUGGGUCUCUCUCUGAAGUGUAGCAAGCUGGAGUACAUGUGCUUCCAGUGUCCCAGAUGGUUCCUGUACAAUCCCUGUAACUUUUAGACUUCUAUUUCCUUCCUGCUUUUCAUUCCAAAAUGCCACUAACUAUGAAUAACUUAAUUUGCCUGCCAGAGUUCUCUAUCACUUUCUCCAGCCUUAAGAGAGUAACUUUCUAACACUGCGUUUCAAUGUCUUCUGGCAGAAUAUGUUCCAUCUGCUUUUUAGAUGUGUGAGUGUGGGAGGGGCAGAGGAGGCUGGGAUAGCGAGGGUGGUGUCAAGGAAAGACGCCAAGACAUACUGCUCUCACUGAGAUGAUCUACUGCUUCCUUUCUGUUUCCACACAGCUUGAUACACUGCUUGUGCUUCCCUUAGGUGUGGCUGCUCUUCCUCACAUUUCCCCAAGGGUUCCUGAUUGAGUGUUUUGGAACUGCUGAUCCUUGGGGGCUACUGGCAGUCCACAGAAAUCCAGAUGUUUGUCAAUAAAGAAAAAAAAAACCCAAAGACUCUUACAUGCAAACAGUCAUAGAAAGCUGGGAAAACAGAAGUAGUUAAUUAAAAUUUAGAGCUGAUCCUAGUUUCAUCUUGAUGAUAAAUGAAAAAUGAUCUUUAGCAGUCCUGCACAAGAUAUUUUCUGAAAUGGCUAGGCAAAACUUGAAUUAAAACUAGCUGAGAAAUGAUAUCCUAGCCAUAACAGUUUCUUGACAUGUUGUUUAUCUGUCAUAUUAGGCAAGAGCACUGCUUGCUGUGGUGGGUUUAGACCUACCUACAAACUAGCUGACUAUCUAGUGAAGAAGAGCUGAUAAGUGUUUCAGCAGGGAAAGUUUAUUGCCUGUGGCUGAGCCCAUGCUUCUCCCUCACUGGUACAAGGCUGAGUCCCUCUCUCUUCUCUAGACAUCAGUUUUUAGAAAACUUACAGGAACAUGACAUUUUUCAGAUAUUUUCUUUUUGUCAUCUUGCAACUGGCUAACUAAUUAGGCAAUUAUUAUCUGGUACUGAUAGAUGAAUUCAAAGACAUUAUUUACUAAAAAAAAAAAAAAAAAAAAAUCCCAGUUAAAAAUGGAAUUGUAACAAAGUUCCAGGUGCCAAUUUCAGCAUGACCUUAAUUAAAGGCUCACUGGUGUGUAGCAUAUACAUGCUAAGCAAUCAGAUCCUUUUAAUGUGAAGAAAAGAAGUCUACAUUUAAUUUCAAUGAAACAGGAAAAAUUAAAAUCUGCACAAAGUUAAUGUUGAGUUGCUCUAAACAUUGACUGUUACUGCAAAAUGCAGGUUCUGUGUUCAGUCAGUUGUGUUAUGAUAAAUCUGUUACAUAAAGUCAGGUCAUGUGAAUGUGAUGCCAUUAAAUGUGAUAGGUUAUAAAAUCAGUUCUGAACAAAAAUCCAUUACAGUUUCCCAUUCUUGCCUUGACAAGGAAUAUAAUCUUUGUGGUGGUCUUCAUUAUCUUUGAUCUGAACAUAUGGUAAUAUUAUUUUCCCUGUUAAAAUAAUGAAUGUACCCUUCCUUGAUCCAGAUUGUAAUUCUAAACAGCAGUCAUCUAUAUUCUGUUAUAAUGUGUAUAUAUUACAGAUAUAGAAAAAAUAAUUUUAGGCUAUACAGCCUGCAGUCUGUAGGAUGGUAGCAGUAUGAGGCUCAGCACAAGCUAACCACUUAUAUACUUUUCUUUUUCAGCUUUUAAUCUGUCAUCGAACCCAACAUUUUCCAUAUCACUUGUACCUGAAUUAGCUAGUAUAAAGCUAAAGCAAGGUAUUUCCUGUCACAUGUAAUGCAAGAGCAUUGUAAUCAGUAAAACAUAGGAUGGAAAACCCCCAGAGUUUGUGCCCUGUCUUUCUGGAGAUAGUUAAAUAUGGGAACAAAUAUCUUGACAAAUCAGACAGUACUACAACUGUUUAACAAAAGGAAUUCCCCUUUUUUUUUUUUUUCUGUUGUCUCAGUACUGUGUGAAAGAAGUGGCAGGUUUCCCUCUUAUAUACCAUCUAUGCUUCCAAAUCUGAGAUCCAUGUCCUAUGAGACAAGAAACAAAUAUUACAUAACUGAGAUCAUAUCCUCCCUGGAGUGACUUAACAGAAUCACAUCAGUUUCCAGAAGCCUGGAAAUAAAAAGAUUUAAAUAAAACAUUUCUUUCUUUUUGUAGAAGAAGGAGAGAAAAAAUAAUCAUUGCAUAAAAACAAACAAAGCAAGCAAACAAACAAACAAACAAAA